AUCAAAUAUUGGUUAAUUUUUAGUUAGGGAUUGUCUUUCAAAAUGUUUGAAAGAUCAACCAACCAACGAAGGUGGCCCAGGCCAUAGCUAGUUCUGCUAUCACUAUCACGCACUCGAGUGUAUAAAUUAAUUUAUACACUCGAGUGCGUGAUAGUGAUAGCAGAACUAGCUAUGGCCUGGGCCACCUUCGUUGGUUGGUUGAUCUUUCAAACAUUUUGAAAGACAAUCCCUAACUAAAAAUUAACCAAUAUUUGAU
rnacentral:misc_RNA from 1 species